rnacentral:lncRNA from 1 species
GUCACUCUUCCGGAGAUGGUGUCUGGGGUGGCCUCUAAGCCUUGAAUGUACCCCCAAAAGAGUAAGAAGGCCUGGGUCCCCAUGAGGGGCCGUCGGCCUAGAUACCUUGCCCGCGUUCUAGGGGGCCGUCCGGGACCGGGAGAUGGAGGAUGAAAGUUUAGUUCCCCCAGCCGGGCCUGGGAGCCGGCGGAACGUUAUGGGAGCUGUAUUAUAAAGCGAUACUGUGAGAAAAGAUUCGUGUCUAAAUACCUGGCAACAAUUGGAAUUGACUAUGGAGUCACAAAGGUACACGUCAGAGACAGAGAAAUCAAAGUUAACAUCUUUGAUAUGGCUGGACAUCCCUUCUUCUAUGAGGUUCGAAAUGAGUUUUACAAGGACACACAGGGUGUGAUACUGGUCUAUGAUGUUGGGCAGAAAGACUCCUUUGACGCCCUUGAUGCGUGGCUGGCAGAAAUGAAGCAAG